rnacentral:rRNA from 1 species
UACAGAGGGUGCAAGCGUUUGUUCGGAAUUAUUGGGCGUAAAGCGCGUGUAGGCGGCUUUGCAAGUCGGGUGUGAAAGCCCUCAGCUCAACUGAGGAAGUGCGCCCGAAACUGCAGAGCUUGAGUGCCGGAGAGGGUGGCGGAAUUCCCCAAGGUAGAGGUGAAAUUCGUAGAUAUGGGGAGGACACCGGUGGCGAAGGCGGCCACCUGGACGGUAACUGGACGCUGAGACGCGAAAGCGUGGGGAGCAAACAGG